GUAUUGGCCUACCGUGGCAAUGACGGGUAACGGGGAAUUAGGGUUCGAUUCCGGAGAGGGAGCCUGAGAAACGGCUACCACAUCUAAGGAAGGCAGCAGGCGCGCAAAUUACCCAAUCCUAAUACAGGGAGGUAGUGACAAGAAAUAACAAUACAGGACUUUUUGGUUUUGUAAUUGGAAUGAGUUAAGUAUAAACCCCUUUACAAGUAUCAAUUGGAGGGCAAGUCUGGUGCCAGCAGCCGCGGUAAUUCCAGCUCCAAUAGCGUAUAUUAAAGUUGUUGCAGUUAAAAAGCUCGUAGUUGGAUUUCUGUUAAUAAUUUAUAUAAAAUAUUUUGAUGAAUAUUUAUAUAAUAUUAACAUAAUUCAUAUUACUAUAUAUUUUAGUAUAUGAAAUUUUACUUUGAGAAAAUUAGAGUGCUUAAAGCAGGCAUAUGCCUUGAAUACUCCAGCAUGGAAUAAUAUUAAAGAUUUUUAUCUUUCUUAUUGGUUCUAAGAUAAGAAUAAUGAUUAAUAGGGACAGUUGGGGGCAUUUGUAUUUAA
rnacentral:rRNA from 2 species